UAUCUCUGUAGAGUCUGCAUAUCAAUAAGCGGAGGAAAAGAAACUAACAUAGGAUUCCCUCAGUAACGGCGAGUGAAGCGGGAAGAGCUCAAAUCUGAAAUCUUCAAGGGUUCUACCUUUACGAAUUGUAGUUUAAAGAAGUGUUUUCUGUUGAGGUUUUGGUAAAAGUUCUUUGGAAUAGGACAUCAUAGAGGGUGAGAAUCCCGUAUUUGACCAUUACUUUCCAACUUUGUGAUACACUUUCAAAGAGUCGGAUUGUUUGGGAAUGCAGUCCAAAAUGGGUGGUAAAUUUCAUCUAAAGCUAAAUAUUGGCGAGAGACCGAUAGCGAACAAGUACCGUGAGGGAAAGAUGAAAAGAACUUUGAAAAGAGAGUUAAACAGUACGUGAAAUUGUCAAAAGGGAAGCGUUUGACACCAGUGUUGUUUUUCUGAAAAUCAAUUAAAGAACUGUUUAUGCUAAGUUGUUUAGACUUUAUCAGCUAUCUGUUUAGUUUUGAGCUUUUCUUUAAUGCACUUUUCAGUUAACAAGUCAACAUCAAUUUCUUUUGCUGUAAAAAAGCUUGAGGAAGGUGGCUUGAGAUUCGUCUUAAGUGUUUAUAGCCUCUUGCCUAUGCAGUCGGAGAGAUUGAGGUCUGCAGCGUAGAUCCUUCGGGGCUAAAUGCAUUUGUGCUAAGUUAUAGCAUUUUAUAGACAACUUGUUGACUAUGAUUUGUCUUGUAGCUUACUCGCUUAUGUUAUUUUACCUACGCUUAGGAUGUUGACGAUCAGCUGAGCGCG
rnacentral:rRNA from 1 species